AAUAUUUAAUACUUUUAUUUUUAAUGUAGGUUAUAGACAUCUAAAUAAAGUCUAUAUUUCUUGAUUUGUUUUCUAGGAUUUCCAUAAUGAGUCUCCUACCAGCCAUUUGAGAAAUACUUCAGAAAAACAAGUCCUUCACUUCUCCUCUACUAGGUUCAGCAAUCAAUUUUGGUUGAGGUCCUGAUCAUUCCAGU
ensembl:lncRNA